rnacentral:rRNA from 1 species
GGGUGGCGCGCGGCCGAAGCAUCUUGGAAAAGAUCGCCGCAGAGGGUGAGAGUCCCGUAGGCCAAGCAAAGCCCUUCACGGAGUGCUCACGGAGAGUCGGGUUGUUUGGGAAUGCAGCCCCAAUUGGGUGGUAAACCCCAUCUAAGGCUAAAUACCGGUGGGAGACCGAUAGCAAAAAAGUACCUCGAGGGAACGAUGAAAAGACCGCUGGCAAGCGAGUGAAAGAGUGCAUGAAAUUGUACAGUGGGAAGGGAUAGCCUGGCGUCGUGCGCCCGGGUAUACCCGGCUCAUGGAGGCGGUGRAUACACCGGGCGCGUGCUGGUGCCGACACGCGCGGCCGGAGAUCAGGGGGCCGAGUGGCCUGCCGUCACGGGCGCG